GUCCCAGUGGCACAAUGGAGCAGUGUGUCUUGCUGUUAAUCAGAAGGUUGGUAGUUUGAGCCGACCCAGGGACG